rnacentral:rRNA from 1 species
UACGUAGGAUCCAAGCGUUGUCCGGAUUUACUGGGUGUAAAGGGCGCGUAGGCGGGAUGGCAAGUCAGUCGUGAAAUCUCUCGGCUCAACCGAGAAACGUCGGCUGAUACUGCCGUUCUUGAGGGAUGCAGAGGAGACUGGAAUUCCCGGUGUAGCGGUGAAAUGUGUAGAGAUCGGGAGGAACACCGGUGGCGAAGGCGGGUCUCUGGGCAUCUCCUGACGCUGAGGCGCGAAAGCGUGGGGAGCAAACGGG